UGAUGUGAAAGCCCCCGGCUCAACCGGGGAGGGUCAUUGGAAACUGGGGAACUUGAGUGCAGAAGAGGAGAGUGGAAUUCCACGUGUAGCGGUGAAAUGCGUAGAGAUGUGGAGGAACACCAGUGGCGAAGGCGACUCUCUGGUCUGUAACUGACGCUGAGGCGCGAAAGCGUGGGGAGCGAACAGGAUUAGAUACCCUGGUAGUCCACGCCGUAAACGAUGAGUGCUAAGUGUUAGAGGGUUUCCGCCCUUUAGUGCUGCAGCAAACGCAUUAAGCACUCCGCCUGGGGAGUACGGUCGCAAGACUGAAACUCAAAGGAAUUGACGGGGGCCCGCACAAGCGGUGGAGCAUGUGGUUUAAUUCGAAGCAACGCGAAGAACCUUACCAGGUCUUGACAUCCUCUGACAACCCUAGAGAUAGGGCUUCCCCUUCGGGGGCAGAGUGACAGGUGGUGCAUGGUUGUCGUCAGCUCGUGUCGUGAGAUGUUGGGUUAAGUCCCGCAACGAGCGCAACCCUUGAUCUUAGUUGCCAGCAUUCAGUUGGGCACUCUAAGGUGACUGCCGGUGACAAACCGGAGGAAGGUGGGGAUGACGUCAAAUCAUCAUGCCCCUUAUGACCUGGGCUACACACGUGCUACAAUGGGCAGAACAAAGGGCAGCGAAGCCGCGAGGCUAAGCCAAUCCCACAAAUCUGUUCUCAGUUCGGAUCGCAGUCUGCAACUCGACUGCGUGAAGCUGGAAUCGCUAGUAAUCGCGGAUCAGC
rnacentral:rRNA from 2 species